ACGCUCGACACCUACGGGAGGCAGCAGUGGGGAAUAUUGCACAAUGGGGGAAACCCUGAUGCAGCGACGCCGCGUGAGCGAAGAAGUAUUUCGGUAUGUAAAGCUCUAUCAGCAGGGAAGAUAAUGACGGUACCUGACUAAGAAGCUCCGGCUAAAUACGUGCCAACAGCCGNGGUAAUCUGAGCGGGCUGGCAAGGC
rnacentral:rRNA from 1 species